ensembl:snoRNA SNORD81 Small nucleolar RNA SNORD81
CAGAGUACGGGACGGUCACACCUCAACUGAAACCUUCACUGAUUACCUGAUGAUGUGAAAAGAUCUGAUAUUAUA